rnacentral:rRNA from 1 species
CCCAGACUCCUACGGGAGGCAGCAGUGGGGAAUAUUGCACAAUGGGGGAAACCCUGAUGCAGCGACGCCGCGUGAGUGAAGAAGUAAUUCGUUAUGUAAAGCUCUAUCAGCAGGGAAGAAAAUGACGGUACCUGAGUAAGAAGCCCCGGCUAACUACGUGCCAGCAGCCGCGGUAAUACGUAGGGGGCAAGCGUUAAUCGGAAUUACUGGGCGUAAAGGGAGCGUAGACGGCAAUGCAAGUCCGGAGUGGAAUGCGGCAGCUCAACUGCCGAACUGCUCUGGAAACUGUAUGGCUUGAGUGCAGGAGGGGUAAGCGGAAUUCCUGGUGUAGCGGUGAAAUGCGUAGAUAUCAGGAGGAACACCGGUGGCGAAGGCGGCUUACUGACUGUAACUGACGUUGAGGCUCGAAAGCGUGGGGAGCAAACAGGAUUAGAUACCCUAGUAA